UACAUAGGUACCGUUUUCAUUUUGACAGUCCGAACGGAUGAUGGGAGCUUGCUCCCUGAUGUUAGCGGCGGACGGGUGAGUAACACGUGGGUAACCUGCCUGUAAGACUGGGAUAACUCCGGGAAACCGGGGCUAAUACCGGAUGGUUGUUUGAACCGCAUGGUUCAAACAUAAAAGGUGGCUUCGGCUACCACUUACAGAUGGACCCGCGGCGCAUUAGCUAGUUGGUGAGGUAACGGCUCACCAAGGCGACGAUGCGUAGCCGACCUGAAAGGGUGAUCGGCCACACUGGGACUGAGACACGGCCCAGACUCCUACGGGAGGCAGCAGUAGGGAAUCUUCCGCAAUGGACGAAAGUCUGACGGAGCAACGCCGCGUGAGUGAUGAAGGUUUUCGGAUCGUAAAGCUCUGUUGUUAGGGAAGAACAAGUACCGUUCGAAUAGGGCGGUACCUUGACGGUACCUAACCAGAAAGCCACGGCUAACUACGUGCCAGCAACCGCGGAAAUACGUAACUG
rnacentral:rRNA from 1 species